AUGCAGUGGGAGCAGGACGUGGCCGUGGGGAUCCCCCAUGGAGGGAGUGGGAUUUGGUGCAGCUGGGACCUGCAAGCCCACCGGCAUGCAGCCCCCCCGGCGACGAGCCGGGGCCGUACCAGUGUGUGUCGCAGGUUCCCAGGCUGGGGGCCCGGGGAGUGGGCCACGAUUUACGCUGGCCCCCGGGAGGCCGUGGGACGGGGACGGGGAUGGGAUGUGGCCGGAGCCACCCUGCCUCGCGGCACAGUCGCCCACGCCGGCUCCCUGGCUUUGGCCGGGAAAUGGCAGCAGGGAACAAAGGCGGCUUGUGGCGGGUGCCGGGUCUCUGCCCUUCCUGCAGGAAAGACCCAGGGCCAGGCAAGGGGCCCAAGAGCGCGGCAGCGGGGGCCCUGCCAGGCCUCGCCGGAUCCGGCCGCCGGCCAGCACGUGCCGGCAGCCAGCUGGGGCUGGCAAGCGGGUGGCGAGCGUGGCCGAGCAGCCGGGGCUGCUGCCGGUCCCUCGCCGCCGCCGCCAUCGGCCUCGGCACUCGGCUGCGGGACCCGAGGUCCCCCAGGACACCCCAGCCCCCAGGCACGGGGACGCGGGGUUCUGGCCUCUGCCUGCAGCUCCAGAGCGGGGCAGGACGGCAGAGCCAGAGCUGGGGGGGCUGGAGGGCUCCCAGGGAGAGAACCUCGCUCCUGCAGCCUCCUGCACCCGCCCCUGCGAUGUCCCCACGCGCAGCCUCUGCAGUGUCCCCGUUCCUAUCCCUUGCAGUGUUCCCAAGCCCGAGUUCAGCGCCGGCCCCGAGUGGUUGUGGGGGUAGCCGGGGGUCGGGGCUGGCUGUGGCAGGGGCACCCUGAGCUUCCCCUGGCCAGAGAACCCCGGCAGGCAGCGGCAUUGCUGCGAAUGCCCUCAGCUUGGCCCUGGCAGGGCAAGGGGUCCCGGCCCAGCUUGGGGUGGGGGCGCCCACGUGUCCCCCCCGGGGUGUCCCUGUGCUUGGGGAAGGCAGGCACGCGCGGGAGAGCACAGGAGACGGGGAGCCUGGGCAGGUCUCUUUAUUUCAGGAGAAGCAACUCGGGGAGCGGCUGGUUACAGGCGAGUCCCACUGCCCUGUGGAGCCCCAACACCCCGUGGUGCAGGAACGCUCUCCUCUGGCAGAGCCCAUCGGCAGCUCCGACUCUGCUCUCGCCAGGGCUGGACUUCCCCGGUGCUGGCCCCAGAGAGCCGGUGAUGCUGUGCCGGGCUGGGCUCACCCCAAACACCGGCCCAGGAUACCCCCAGCAAAGCCGCCGGGACCCCGCGGCAGGAUGGGGCCAUGCCAGUGCCGGGGCAGCGGGAUGCUCGGAGGUGGCUGAGCGCCAGGGCUGGCACAGAGGGGCUGAGGGCCUCCCCUUGUGCCCCCCCCCCGGCAGCCCCGCAGGUGCAGGGGAUGGGGGUGGUGGGUUCUCAUGGGGUGCUCGGGGCAGGAGGGAGGUUCGGCCACCCUGA
rnacentral:lncRNA from 1 species